ACAAGUAUAAUUAUAAAUGAAUACUACAUCUGGACAUAAUACAUACAUAGAGGAGCCUAACGAGAUUCAGAAUAAAAUGAGAAGAAAAUCCACGUAUAAUUUGGGUUAAUCACGACCACACACGUAUCAUCAGACCAGUAGGGCGCUUAUGUGAGCAAUUAGGACCAUUGAUAAGGUACCACGUGGUGCGCAAAUUAAAAAAAACAAACAUAAAGUAAGGUAAUCGACGUCUUCAAGCCAUGCAUAAAUUUUCAUGGGGAAACUCACUUAUAGCCUACAUUAAGAGUUCCUUUUUAUUUUUUUUAUUUUUUUUAAAUUCUAAAAAACCAAGACUUAAUCUCAGUUAAAAUUCUAUCUAAUAUACAGUUAAAAUAUAUCUGAGGUCCUUGUACUCUUCAUAAUUAUUUUUAGGUAUUUAGUUUUUCCACUUUUUAAAUUUCAAAAUUCGAAUUCAAUUAUUAAUAUAUUAUCUUUCUUUUAAAUUGUUGGUGUAAUUUUUUGAAAUAAAAUAAAACUCACUUGGUAGUAAUAUAAAUAAAAAAAUAACACUGUAAUGAACUUAAAUUUAACAAAUAAUUUUUAUAGUGUUAACAAUAAAGAUUUGAACUUUGAAAUUCGAGAAGUAUAGAAAUUAAAUUUCAAAUUUAGAAAGAUUAAAAGUACUAAUGACACAUUUUAACUCUAAUAUACACAAGGAAACAAACUUGUUCAUGCAAAAUUGUAAUCGUAUUUUGGUUAAUAUUGAUGUUACUCUGGUUCUAUAUUUUCUCUUAAUUAUGUGUCUAUUGUUGAAACCUAUUUGAUAUGGCUGCGAAAAUAUGAUUUUUCAAAUAGGAAAAAAAUAUAAAUGUCUAUAUCAAACGCAUUGGCACCCGACAUUUGAACUUACAGGUAUGAAAAGAGAGAGAAAGAUACCCAAUUGGAAGGAGUGAGCAAAGGAGUAGGUGCUGCGAAAACUGGUUGAUUUCGGAUGAGUGUAGGAGGAGAAGUGGAAGAGUUGAGGUUGGCGAUGAUAGAGGGCCGCCGCAAUGUGGGUUGCCGGAGUGAGUUAGAAGGAGAGGUGGUAUUGGAAGAGAGGCAGAAGCCGGAGACCGAAGCCGUGGACAUUAUUGCCGCCAAGGGAUCACAUUCAUAUAUAGAAAACACUAGAUUUUAUACCAUACUUUUAUUAUCAAACAAUUCCUUAUAGGAUAUAAUAUUGAAAGCGAAAGCGAAAGCUUAGUGAAUGAGAGCUUCUACCUUUGUAGAUGAGGUUUCAACGUUGGAGAUCAAUUUUCGCUCUCUUUCUCCCUUCAUC
rnacentral:lncRNA from 1 species